GGUCAAGCGAAUUAAGGCUAAUG
rnacentral:rRNA from 1 species